UGCUCCGCUUCUACUUCAUGUCCCUGCCUGUCACUAAGCCUGUUCCUCCAGCAGGAGGGCUCCCCUCCAUGGUAACACCCUGGCAGGCAGUAUCGGGGAGCUACCAAGUCCUCUCCUGCCGGCUUGAGGGGAGAUUCAGACAGACUCGCUGAUGUGGCCUCAGCUCUGUGACUUCUUCCUUCCUGCUUUUCUGUCGAUGCUCCGGGAAGGGAGCCAGACGUUGGAUGGUGUUCGUUUCUGCAGAUUCUCCUCCACUCCCUUCUCUGCCUUCCAAAUCAGUGGGAACCAGUGCACUGAAGACAGCUGUAAGAGACCAGCUCCAUGAGGAUGUUCCAAGGGGAGUCAAGAACAUCUUCCAGGAGGGCUUGAGAAGACGUUGUCCCACCCAUGAAAACCAAAUGAAGAAACUGACUCUUCAAGGAUUUGAUUGACCUGCUCAUCAUGACAAAGACUGGAAAGAAAGAGAAAGCCCCAUCCUUCUUUGAUGCAAGAACCUAGCAGUUGAACACAGUGCUAUGGGCAUUUCUGAUCUUCACUGAUCAGUAAUACAUGGCAGAGCUUCGGAAAUUCUAGAAGAAAGGAGCAAAGUAUUCUAGGGGCUAAAGUCUGACCAAGUGCCAAGAGACUACAGAGAUGAGGCUCUUUUUGUCUGGAAAGUCAAAUGUGUGUGAGAUAGGAGAAGUAAAGCCUGCAAAAACAUGGUAGAGAGGUAGACACGGACUAAUCCAAAAAUCUGAAAACUGGGAGAGGGACAACAGCCUCCAAAGCUUGAAAAAGGCAAUUUUAGGACAAAUGAAGUCUAGGACUUCUUUUCGCAGUGAGCAUUGAGUUAAUAGGACUCAUUAUUUUGAAAUGUGGUAUAGGAUUAAAAUGUAAAUAAAUGGUCUUAAAUUUACUUAUUUAUAUAUGCAAUCACAUUUAUUGAAGACAUACUAUAUAGUAGGCACUGUGCUAGGAGAUGGGGAUUCAGAAUUGAAUAGUACACAGUCGGCUCACUCAUAUUCUAACAAGAGGCAGACAUGUUGAUUACUCAGUCCACAUAUGCUGAUUGAGCACCACGUGGGCCAGAUCCUGUGCUAGCUCUGCAGAUAAACUGGUGAGCAAAAGAGAAAUCCCUCCUGCUCUCCUUGAGCCCACAGUUUCUUAAAGAAGGCAGAUGUUAGAGAAAUAAUUAAAUUAUAACACACGACUAAAUUAGUCACUAAUGAGCUUGAUGUUGUAAGAGAGAAGUACAGGGAGUUUUAGGAAUAUACAAAGAGAGGUCAUUAUGUAGUCUAGGGAGUCAUAAAAGAUCUCCUUGAGGAAUUUAGGAGUAAGCUGACAACAGGAGGCUGAACAGCAGUGAAGUUGGCAACGAGGAUGGGUGGGGAUGGGGGGAAGAACAUUCAUAGAGGGAACAUCGUGUGACAAAGGGUGGAAAAGAGUUAUUUGAGGAACUGAAAGAUGUCUAGUAUGGCUGUGUUGGAGGAAACAGUAGGGGCAAGAAUGGGCUAGAGUAGGUUUUUUUCUGUUGUGCUCUGUUGUCCCCAGAGGCUGAACACUAAAAACUGCAUCAUCUGGGCUAUGUAGCCCUCUGGCUUCUAGUUGGGUCUGCACAACAGAAGCAUGAGUAGGAGAUCAGAGAUCAUAGUGGAGAGAAGGCAUGACAUUUCUCCUACUCUCCCCCAUUUGGGUGCUGAGGUUCUGGCAACUGUUGUAUCUUAUAACAGUAGUUCCUGUUGGUGGCCCUACUUCCAUGGCCCCAGUUUGAUUAGUUUUGGUAACACCCUUUUUGUUCACUCUGUGCAUUAAAGCCUACCAGUCACAAUGACUUCCCACUGUUGCUAGUCCCAAGUACCUUAAUCUCCCUUUUUCUUCCUUUAACUUUUGUAAACCUUCUCUUUAUUAAACUGUCUUUAAAUUCCAGUUGAGGGUGCCUUCUGUUUUCUGCUCAGGAGACUCACUGAAGGUCCCACCAAGGACUUUGGACUUAGUCCUGGGCAAUGAUAAGAUGUUUAUAAGAUUUCAGCAAAG
rnacentral:lncRNA from 1 species